GUUGGCGGCCAUAGGGGCGGGGAAACACCCGGACUCGUCCGAUCCCGGAAGUUAAGCCCGCCUCCGUUCCGGGUUGUACUCUGGUGCGCAAGCCCAGGGGAAGCCCGGAAAGCUGCCAACC
rnacentral:rRNA from 1 species